rnacentral:tRNA from 2 species
AUGUAGCUCAGCGGAUAGAGUUCUAGAUUCCGACUCUAGCAGACGGGGGUUCGAUCCCCUCCAUA